rnacentral:rRNA from 1 species
CGGCGUGCCUAAUACAUGCAAGUCGAGCGAGCGGAACUAACAGAUUUACUUCGGUAAUGACGUUAGGAAAGCGAGCGGCGGAUGGGUGAGUAACACGUGGGGAACCUGCCCCACAGUCUGGGAUACCACUUGGGAACAGGUGCUAAUACCGGAUAAGAAAGCAGAUCGCAUGAUCAGCUUUUAAAAGGCGGCGUAAGCUGUCGCUAUGGGAUGGCCCCGCGGUGCAUUAGCUAGUUGGUAAGGUAAAGGCUUACCAAGGCGAUGAUGCAUAGCCGAGUUGAGAGACUGAUCGGCCACAUUGGGACUGAGACACGGCCCAAACUCCUACGGGAGGCAGCAGUAGGGAAUCUUCCACAAUGGACGCAAGUCUGAUGGAGCAACGCCGCGUGAGUGAAGAAGGUUUUCGGAUCGUAAAGCUCUGUUGUUGGUGAAGAAGGAUAGAGGUAGUAACUGGCCUUUAUUUGACGGUAAUCAACCAGAAAGUCACGGCUAACUACGUGCCAGCAGCCGCGGUAAUACGUAGGUGGCAAGCGUUGUCCGGAUUUAUUGGGCGUAAAGCGAGCGCAGGCGGAAGAAUAAGUCUGAUGUGAAAGCCCUCGGCUUAACCGAGGAACUGCAUCGGAAACUGUUUUUCUUGAGUGCAGAAGAGGAGAGUGGAACUCCAUGUGUAGCGGUGGAAUGCGUAGAUAUAUGGAAGAACACCAGUGGCGAAGGCGGCUCUCUGGUCUGCAACUGACGCUGAGGCUCGAAAGCAUGGGUAGCGAACAGGAUUAGAUACCCUGGUAGUCCAUGCCGUAAACGAUGAGUGCUAAGUGUUGGGAGGUUUCCGCCUCUCAGUGCUGCAGCUAACGCAUUAAGCACUCCGCCUGGGGAGUACGACCGCAAGGUUGAAACUCAAAGGAAUUGACGGGGGCCCGCACAAGCGGUGGAGCAUGUGGUUUAAUUCGGAGCAACGCGAAGAACCUUACCAGGUCUUGACAUCUAGUGUCAUUUGUAGAGAUACAAAGUUCCCUUCGGGGACGCUAAGACAGGUGGUGCAUGGCUGUCGUCAGCUCGUGUCGUGAGAUGUUGGGUUAAGUCCCGCAACGAGCGCAACCCUUGUUAUUAGUUGCCAGCAUUAAGUUGGGCACUCUAAUGAGACUGCCGGUGACAAACCGGAGGAAGGUGGGGAUGACGUCAAGUCAUCAUGCCCCUUAUGACCUGGGCUACACACGUGCUACAAUGGGCAGUACAACGAGAAGCGAGCCUGCGAAGGCAAGCGAAUCUCUGAAAGCUGUUCUCAGUUCGGACUGCAGUCUGCAACUCGACUGCACGAAGCUGGAAUCGCUAGUAAUCGCGGAUCAGCACGCCGCGGUGAAUACGUUCCCGGGCCUUGUACACACCGCCCGUCACACCAUGGGAGUCUGCAAUGCCCAAAGCCGGUGGCCUAACCUUCGGGAAGGAGCCGUCUAAGGCAGGGCAGAUGACUGGGGUGAAGUCAUAA